rnacentral:rRNA from 1 species
UACAGAGGGUGCAAGCGUUGUUCGGAAUUAUUGGGCGUAAAGGGCGCGUAGGCAGUUCGGCAAGUCUCUAGUGAAAUCUCUGGGCUCAACUCAGAGUCUGCUGGGGAAACUGCCGGGCUUGAGUGUGGGAGAGGAGAGUGGAAUUCCCGGUGUAGCGGUGAAAUGCGUAGAUAGUCGGGAGGAACACCGGUGGCGAAGGCGGAUCUCUGGGCCAUUACUGGACGCUGAGGAGCGAAAAGCG